AUACGUAGGGUGCGAGCGUUGUCCGGAAUUACUGGGCGUAAAGAGCUCGUAGGUGGUUUGUCGCGUCGUCUGUGAAAUUCCGGGGCUUAACUCCGGGCGUGCAGGCGAUACGGGCAUAACUUGAGUACUGUAGGGGAGACUGGAAUUCCUGGUGUAGCGGUGAAAUGUGCAGAUAUCAGGAGGAACACCGGUGGCGAAGGCGGGUCUCUGGGCAGUAACUGACGCUGAGGGGCGAAAGCAUGGGUAGCGAACAGGAUUAGAUACCCUGGUAGUCCAUGCCGUAAACGGUGGGCGCUAGGUGUAGGGGUCUUCCACGACUUCUGUGCCGUAGCUAACGCAUUAAGCGCCCCGCCUGGGGAGUACGGCCGCAAGGCUAAAACUCAAAUGAAUUGGCGGGG
rnacentral:rRNA from 1 species